rnacentral:rRNA from 1 species
AGAGUUUGAUCCUGGCUCAGGACGAACGCUGGCGGCGUGCCUAACACAUGCAAGUCGAACGGGACCGGGGGCAACUCCGGUUCAGUGGCGGACGGGUGCGUAACACGUGAGGAACAUUCCUUCCGGUGGGGGAUAGCCGGCCUAACGGCCGGGUAAUACCGCAUACGCUGUUCGGGGUGCAUACCCUGGAUCGGAAAGCAGCAAUGCGCCGGAAAGGUGCCUCGCGGCCUAUCAGCUAGUUGGUGAGGUAAUGGCUCACCAAGGCGACGACGGGUAGCUGGUCUGAGAGGAUGGCCAGCCACAUUGGGACUGAGACACGGCCCAGACUCCUACGGGAGGCAGCAGUGGGGAAUCUUGCGCAAUGGGCGAAAGCCUGACGCAGCGACGCCGCGUGUGGGAUGACGGCCUUCGGGUUGUAAACCACUGUCGCGAGGGACGAAGAUCUGACGGUACCUCGAAAGGAAGCACCGGCUAACUCUGUGCCAGCAGCCGCGGUAAUACAGAGGGUGCAAGCGUUGUCCGGAAUCACUGGGCGUAAAGGGCGCGUAGGCGGCCUGAUAAGUAGGAGGUGAAAUCCUGGGGCUUAACCUCAGGGCUGCCUUCUAGACUGUCCGGCUCGAGCACAGUAGAGGCAGGUGGAAUUCCCGGUGUAGCGGUGGAAUGCGUAGAGAUCGGGAAGAACAUCGGUGGCGAAGGCGGCCUGCUGGGCUGUUGCUGACGCUGAGGCGCGACAGCGUGGGGGAGCAAACAGGAUUAGAUACCCUGGUAGUC